rnacentral:rRNA from 1 species
GAAGGAUGCGUUUCGGAUUCUGGGCGUAAGCGCGCGUAGGUGGUUAAUUAAGUCAAAUGUGAAAUCCCCGAGCUUAACUUGGGAAUUGCAUUCGAUACUGGUUAGCUAGAGUAUGGGAGAGGAUGGUAGAAUUCCAGGUGUAGCGGUGAAAUGCGUAGAGAUCUGGAGGAAUACCGAUGGCGAAGGCAGCCAUCUGGCCUAAUACUGACACUGAGGUGCGAAAGCAUGGGGAGCAAACAGGAUUAGAUACCCUGGUAGUCCAUGCCGUAAACGAUGUCUACUAGCCGUUGGGGGAUUUGAUCCUUUAGUGGCGCAGCUAACGCGAUAAGUAGACCGCCUGGGGAGUACGGUCGCAAGACUAAAACUCAAAUGAAUUGACGGGGGCCCGCACAAGCGGUGGAGCAUGUGGUUUAAUUCGAUGCAACGCGAAGAACCUUACCUGGCCUUGACAUAGUAGAAACUUUCCAGAGAUGGAUUGGUGCCUUCGGGAAUCUACAUACAGGUGCUGCAUGGCUGUCGUCAGCUCGUGUCGUGAGAUGUUGGGUUAAGUCCCGCAACGAGCGCAACCCUUUUCCUUACUUGCCAGCAUUUCGGAUGGGAACUUUAAGGAUACUGCCAGUGACAAACUGGAGGAAGGCGGGGACGACGUCAAGUCAUCAUGGCCCUUACGGCCAGGGCUACACACGUGCUACAAUGGUCGGUACAAAGGGUUGCUACACAGCGAUGUGAUGCUAAUCUCAAAAAGCCGAUCGUAGUCCGGAUCGCAGUCUGCAACUCGACUGCGUGAAGUCGAAUCGCUAGUAAUCGCGGAUCAAAAUGCCGCGGUGAAUACGUUCCCGGGCCUUGUACACACCGCCCGUCACACCAUGGGAGUUUGUUGCACCAGAAGUAGUAGUCUAACCGCAAGAGGACGCUUACCACGGUGUGGCCGAUGACUGGGGUGAGUCUCGAAAAGACAACAUACUAAAAUUAA